AGUGAACGCUGGCGGUAGGCCUAACACAUGCAAGUCGAACGGCAGCAGAGUAAUUGCUCGUGCAUACAGGUGCGGAGGGGCGGACAGUGGCUGGAAACAUGGGAGGCAGUGGGGGCGAACGUGCGGACGCGGGGGAACUUACCGCAAUACUGCAUAGGGCCAACGGGUGAAAGCAUCGGACCUCCCGACCUCGCACGAGCCAAUGAGGCGAUGUCGGAUUAGCUAGUUGGUGGGGUAAAGGCCCACCAAGGCGACGAUCCGUAGCUGGUCUGAGAGGAUGAUCAGCCACACUGGAACUGAGACACGGUCCAGACUCCUACGGGAGGCAGCAGUGGGGAAUAUUGGACAAUGGGCGAAAGCCUGAUCCAGCCAUGCCGCGUGUGUGAAGAAGGUCUUCGGAUUGUAAAGCACUUUUAUUGGGGAAGAAGGGCAGCAAGUUAAUACCCUGCUGUUCUGACGUUACCCACAGAAUAAGCACCGGCUAACUUCGUG
rnacentral:rRNA from 1 species